CGCGUAGGCGGCAUAUUAAGUCAGCUGUGAAAUCUCCGAGCUUAACUCGGAACUGUCAGCUGAUACUGAUGUGCUAGAGUGCAGAAGGGGCAAUCGGAAUUCUUGGUGUAGCGGUGAAACGCGUAGAUAUCAAGAGGAACACCUGAGGUGAAGACGGGUUGCUAGGCUGACACUGACGCUGAGUGCGCGAAAGCCAGGGGAGCAAACG
rnacentral:rRNA from 1 species